AGGUGUUAAGGUUAAUAACCUUGACAAUUGACGUUACCGACAGAAGAAGCACCGGCUAACUCCGUGCCAGCAGCCGCGGUAAUACGGAGGGUGCAAGCGUUAAUCGGAAUUACUGGGCGUAAAGCGCACGCAGGCGGUUGAUUGAGUCAGAUGUGAAAUCCCCGGGCUUAACCCGGGAAUUGCAUCUGAUACUGGUCAGCUAGAGUCUUGUAGAGGGGGGUAGAAUUCCAUGUGUAGCGGUGAAAUGCGUAGAGAUGUGGAGGAAUACCGGUGGCGAAGGCGGCCCCCUGGACAAAGACUGACGCUCAGGUGCG
rnacentral:rRNA from 1 species